rnacentral:lncRNA from 1 species
UGCCGCUGUCUCCAACGCACGUGCUUUUAUGGUCUCUACGUCACCCCGUUCAUGACGUCUUGCCCAUCCAUUGGACUGAUUACACAUGUGGUUCAGAGCGUGGUCACACUGAAGGUGUUCCCAUAGCGUCUUGACGCAGCGUCUCGUUCCCUCGGGGAACUAGGGAUACAUACGUAACCUAGAGACGUAUUAUUAGUAAAUGUUGAAAUUACCAUUAAGAAUAAUAAAUGCCGUACAAGUGUUGUUAAUUGAUAGUUCAUGUUAACUAAGGUUGUAACAUUAUAACAAAUGGAACCUUACAGUAAUUUUAUCGGUAAUCAUUUUUCAGGAUCUGAAAACAGCAUGUAUACGUAAGAGGAACAUCUGUUCCAAAGAGACAGUGAGAGAAAGCUUUGAAAAUUCUAAAUUAAAGGUAUUAUGUUAAUAUAUGCAACAUAUGUACAUUUGGACAUUGCUUCUUUUGCUAUAUACAGACUCAUGUGUUGUUCUUAUUAUUAUAGAAAAAGAUGUCUCUAAACAUUUUUACUGUAAGCACAAGGGCAUUUUUUGACAAAACAUUACGCCUGGAACACAGUGACACAGAAAUCCCAAAGCUGCAGGAUGUUUUGAAGAAUAUUAACAACAGCAUCAACAAAGACCUGGCCAGAGAUUAUGUCAAUGAAGCGAAGGGAAUUUUGUCCUUGAUCAAAAGUGUGCAGUCGGAGACAGGCAAUGUGGUUCAGACAGGGGUCCACAAAAAAUUGGAGCAGAACCUAUGUAAGGCACUGGAGAAGUUAGGUUGGCAGUUUGACAUGCUUUGUUGUGUUCUGGAAAAGUGUCUCUCAGAUGGAGUGGAAGAGUCAGAGAGAUCAUGUCUUACCAGUGCAUGUUCCAUUAUAUCACCUAAUUUACCUCACGGCAAAGGAGGAUUCCAUAAAAUCCUCAAGGCGUUGUGUACAAAUGAUGGCUACCAUUGGUCAAAUGCAUGGGGUAUAGACUUGGAUCUAAACAUGGUAUUGGCCCAAAACAUGCACAAAAACUUUGAGGAGGAGUUUGAUUCCAUUUUUCCAGUCUAUUAUAAAACAGGAAAAUCAGUGCAAGAACAAAUUGAAAAAUUCAGUAUCAUCCAAAGUGACUCUGAGCACCCCAGAGCUUCAAUGUUUUAUCACAUUGACAACUUCAUCAAAAGAGAGGUGAGCAGUAUUACCAGAUCUUAGGAAAACAAGAAAUCAAAAUUUUCCUAUAAACAAUUUAUAAAACAUCUGCAUGCAUGAAAAUGUCGCAAGAAAAUUAUC